UCUUUCUUAGGUUAAUUAAAUAAACUGUCGGUUUGUGGGGUCGGAGAUCUCUUGAGAAGGAAGUG
rnacentral:tRNA from 1 species